CCCUUUCUAAGAUCUGCUCUCACAGAGGCUCAAACAAUGUCACUUACGGCUCGGCUCUGGAAAGCAGCAGGGCCCUUUGGAGCCAGAUGAAACUGGCCCUUAUCUCGCAUGGGGCAGCUGCUGGUUUCUUCUCAGAGGCCACCCUUACAGCCCCCGCCGCCCAAACCUUGCCACACAAACCCAAUACAAAACGCAAAAUGGGUGGGCAGAGGAAAAACACGACCAGCAAUUGCAAACAUGUGGCUGGACAGCAAUUUGUGAAGAACGUCGGGAGGAGACUGCGAGAGCGGGAGCGCAAGGAAAGUAGGACACGCAAGACAGCUGACACGCAGCGCCUCUUUCAAGACCUGGAUGUAAAUGAGAAAAGGUCGGCGACACUAUCGCAUGGCGGGUGUCCGAGCUGCUGACAGCUCUUGACAGAGCGUGGCCCCGCUAGCAAAUCGAAGGCGGCAGCGUUCAGAGUGUGCGGCACCUUUCGGAGAGCACAGGAAGCAGGGAGCCAGGCGGCAUUUCGCAAAGCUGCACCCAAAUUUACCUCCUCACCCCCACAGAUGCCAGCCCACGGGUCUGGUUUCUCUUUCGGUAAUUUGCUUUGCCAGGGCAAAACAAACAUACAGGCACCAAGGCCUCUUCCAAAGCCCUCGCAGAGUUACUCAACCACCUAAAUAAUCCGGUGGGAAUUAGGGCAGCAAAUGCUUUGUAUUUUUGGCUGUGACUACACAAGUGCAGGGCAGGGAGGGGAACCUCACGCUCAGAGGAAGAAGAGCCAAGGAUGAAUGGCAGAUAACCACACAGCCCGGCUUCUUCCUCCUCCAUCUCCAAUGCUAAGAACAGUGAUUUAGAGACGGAGCAGGAGGAGAAGGUAGAAGAUGAAGUCUGUUCGUUACCUGGCUCUCCGGGUUUAGCCCUGGAUGAUAAGCUGGGGGAAGCAGAGAAUAACGUGCGAGGAUUUAGGGCACUGCCAUUUAUAUGCACGUUCCCAGCGUGACGCACGCAUUUGGCUCAUGCAGUUCGGUCGCUGAGGCUUCUCUCCUGCUCUGCAACCCCGUGUGGCUGACCAGCAAUUUGCUGAUGAGCUGCAGUUGCUGCACAGGGCUCCCGAGCCG